CAGCAAACUGAGAGACCUCCAAAUGGGGCAGUGGAGCUUGGACUGCUUCAGGCCGGACCUGAUAUCAUUGCCAGAAAAUUCUGGUCACAAAGAGGUUGUCAGUAUUAUGAUCCUAGAGGAGCAUCAUAAAAUGAAGCAACUAGCUGGUGGUUGGCUUUGCUAUAAAGCUGCAGUUGUUCUGGAGAAAAGUGAGAUGUUUUCAUAGUGAAGAGAGGAUGCUGUAGGUGGACCAUCCAACAGGAGAGAGGCUGAUUGAUUGAAGAUUGCUAAUCCAAAAGUGGAUGCAGAUGUGUUCAGAAAACGGCUACUAAGUGCUGAAGUGCAGGAACAACCCUUGCGUUUCAUCUUGGAUCUCAGGGAGAAACUGGAGGAGCAGAUAAAGAGAUGAUAUCUUACUCCAAGCGAUCAAAUGUCACUUGGUCUCUGCCAUUUUCCUGUAUUCUCAGAGGUGAUGCUGCCACAGAUGAAGGGAUGAGCCGUCACAUUCUUAGUACUGCAAUCCUUAAACUGAGAAAUGGCUUUAGCAUAAUCUUUGGUAAGAUGUGUUGAAUACUUGAUUUGAGUGACUUUGUAUGUUAACUGGGCCACAAAUAGAUAGGAAAUCAAUACGAAUGUUUUGCUGUAGAAAAAAAUACUAUGACCAGGCACAGCUGUGAUCGGCAUAGACGUCUCGGUGUAUGCGGUUAACCACAUUGAUAAUUGAGAUGCCAUUCGUGUCACAAUGGUUACAAACUCGCAUUUACUGCUGCCAGCUUAUAGAUGACAAAUGAGAGCUUUCCCUUCUCUCUCACUUGUACAGGUGCGCUGUUUCUUAAGAUGCGUGCGUCACAUGCAGACCUAUCAAACCUGUACAUUGACUAAACAAAAGGCUUUCCCAUUUGCACAAAAGGAAAUCAUUUGGCGAUACAUUCUAGCAAUUCCAAAUUCAAACUUAAAUAAACAAAGCUUUAAAUAAGUUUUAUACUCUGUCUUUGUAAAUAUAUACCAGCUAGACCAGCAUAAUUAGUUGUGUCCUUUAAGACAUGGGGUUGUCUUUGUACUGUACACCAGUGGUUCUCAAACUGGGGGCCCUAGGUGGUGACACAUACAUUUAUCAUACAUUCUUUGUAAUUAAACCUCAGGCUAUUAACCAACAGCAAUACAUUUUAUAAUUUUAUGUGAUUUUUAUUCAAAUUUUAAGUUUUACAAAGUUUUAUGUCUUAAAUUUUCUUUGGGGGCCAUGAAGGGAUGCACCGUACACAAGGGGGGCCGCAUGCCGAAAACAUUUGAGAACCACUGCUGUACACAUCUGUACAGAUCUCACAGUGAGGAGAGUCAAUUGCAAUCUUUUACAUUUGUAAUUAAUUUUAUCCUAAUACAAAAUACUUUAUUCAACACCUUAAUUUCCACUUAAAAGCGUAAAACUGUACAAUGUGUUUUUAAAGGAUGUGAUUAUAAAACACACAUGAAUGGGGCUUAUACAACACAACAUGUAGCAAUGAUGGCAAAAUAAUGAUGGCCGUAGCUUGACAUUUGAGUUUGGGGUCCAGACUGGUCUAUCAUUUUUAUCACAAACUAGAUCAUUAAAAUGAAUCAAAAAUAUUUUCGUAAAGGUCUGUUUUUCCUGAUCCCAUUUUUGAAAAUGUAGUUAGUGUGUAAUGUUGCUUUUAUAGCAUAACACUGCAUUUUUUUUUACACACGAAACAUAAACACGUGCUAUAUUGCGUACCAUAAACACAACCAUAGCUUUAAAAACACAGGAAAAAUGGGACCUUUAAGGUUAGUCCUCCCAGAAUAAAACACAAUCUUUGAGCUGUGCACUGACAUAUUAAAACACCCGAAGGCCAUUGAUUUGUCAAGAUACACACCAGUAACGUCUUUUUCUAAGACAUGUUUGUAAAAGAUGCUUAAAUGUCUUAAAUGAACUAAGGCCAAGUCCGUGCUUUAGAAAAGUUUUGUCUGAAAACAGGCCAAUAUGUACUAAUUAAAUCUUUUGUCUUUACUUUGGCUUUGGGGAAUGACUGUCGAGCACCUGGGAUAUCAGUUGAAAUAAUGACUGACGUGAUGAUAUCUACUGACCCACUUCAGAACCAAGAAACUGCUUUGUAACCACUCUCUCACCACCAAUGCCCAAGAAGCUACCCGUGAGAAAUCAAGUCCCCACCAAAAAGGGAUUUUUUGGGAUGGCUGCAUCUUCACAACUCUUCACUGACCACUGCCCGCAUUCAUGCGUCAUCUGGUCAACAGAAAGUUUUAAGCACAAUGGGGUGGUUUUCCAGACAGGGAUUAGUUUACGCCAGGUCUAGGCCUCAGGUUAAUUAGGAAAUAUAACUAGUUUUAACAAACAUGCCUUACUGAAAACAUUACUUGAGGCAAAACAAAAGGGCACUGAUGUAUUUUAAGAUUUGUCAGUGCAAGUUGUUUUCAGUUUGGACAGCUCUAACAUUUAUUUUAGUCUAGGACUAGUCUGAUCCCUGUCCGGGAAACCGCCCCAAUACGUUUAAAAAAAAUACAGCUGAAUACUUAGCAAUACAUUUAAAUGCCAUAUGUUUUAGAUUGUUUAGCCAGAGGAAACAGUGUAUUCACAGUUUUUGUCUUUACUUGUCAUGGUUGCCUGUGGCUAGCUUAAUGAUUAUGUGAAGACUCAAGCAUUUUAACAUAACACACAUAAAUUUGAACUAACUGUUGAAACAUUGGAGACAAUUCAGACAUUACAGUGUGUUUUCCUGUAAAAACACUUUAAAAUAUUAUGCAUUCUAAAAAGGUAAAAUGUCUGACAAAGAAAGUGUUUAUAAAGCUUUGGAUUUUGUGUGAAUAAUGUAAUGUUAGUUAUGAUGUUACUUUAUAUGCUCUGUAAAAGUAAGCAAUAUUACUUUAUGUAAUAAUUUGUGUAAUUACACAUUGUGUAAGUGUAUUGCAUGAUGUUGAUUACAGUGUGUAUAAACAACAUGCUUGAAACAUUAUUGACCUCUUAUUAAACUUUAUAAUUGUAAUGUAAUGUAAUAGUAACACUAAAUGAACUAUUUUUAAUGAAGACUAAACCAUAUUGAAGAUAAGGAUUGUUGUAACUUCAGAUUGAAGCAAUUUAUUAACUUUACACAAUACAAAAGUGGAAAGGGUAAAGUAUAUAUUAUCUAAAUAAUAAAAUGACACAAGCAAUCACUUAAAAAAAAGCUAAAUUCAUUGCCAUAUUAAAUACACACCAAAAACCACAUUUCUAUUUUUAUGUUAUUGAUUACCAGUUCAACAACUAACGUUAAUUACUAUUAGAAAGAUAACAACUGUUAUUGAACACUGUUAUUAUUAACUUAGAUAUACGACUGAGGACU